rnacentral:rRNA from 1 species
CAGUAGCCGCGGUAAUACGUAGGGUGCAAGCGUUAUCCGGAAUUAUUGGGCGUAAAGAGCUCGUAGGCGGUUUGUCGCGUCUGCUGUGAAAACUGGAGGCUCAACCUCCAGCCUGCAGUGGGUACGGGCAAACUAGAGUGCGGUAGGGGAGAUUGGAAUUCCUGGUGUAGCGGUGGAAUGCGCAGAUAUCAGGAGGAACACCGAUGGCGAAGGCAGAUCUCUGGGCCGUAACUGACGCUGAGGAGCGAAAGCAUGGGGAGCGAACAGGAUUAGAUACCCCCGUAGUCCCUGUCUCUUAUAA